rnacentral:rRNA from 1 species
UACACACCGCCCGUCACACCACGAAAAGUGGUCAUAACCAGAAGUACGUGAGCUAACCGCAAGGGGGCAGCGCACCAAGGUUGUGGCCGUGAUUGGGGUG